rnacentral:piRNA from 1 species
GUAGUAUAAGCCUCUUCCC